UACGUAGGGGGCUAGCGUUGUCCGGAAUCAUUGGGCGUAAAGAGCGCGUAGGCGGCUCGGUAAGUCCGCUGUGAAAGUCCAGGGCUCAACCCUGGAAUGCCAGUGGAAACUGUCGAGCUAGAGUCCGGAAGAGGCGAGUGGAAUUCCUGGUGUAGCGGUGAAAUGCGCAGAUAUCAGGAGGAACACCAAUGGCGAAGGCAGCUCGCUGGGACGGUACUGACGCUGAGACGCGGAAGCGUGGGGAGCAAACAGG
rnacentral:rRNA from 1 species